AACUAUUCCCCCUCUCGUCUUGUUUUCUUCUUCCUGUGCGGCGGCCGGCCCGAUCUGUGCGUGGCGGCGAGCAGCCCUGGUGCUCCCAUCCUCUCUCCGGCGGCCGCUGACUGCCUAGUCUUUUUCGUGGUCGCCGGUGGGAGACAGCGCGCAGUGAUGGAUUUCCCACUGGAUCCGGUGAGCAGCCUUCCAAUUUAUGGGGCGUUCCCGGCUGAGGCGACGGUGGAGAUUUUGCAAGGAGGGGACUCGGUCAGUAGCAACGCGGGUCCGGCGCCGGCGCCGGCGGGAGCAACCGUGCUUGGGGACAUCCUAGAUGCAACCAGCGUCGGCGAUUUUGCAAGCGGGCUUGGUGGCGUGGAUGGACCAGUAGCUGCAGAUUCAGCGGAAUCUAGACAAUCCUCAGUCGUCUGGAUGGAAGAAGAGGGUCUGUGUUGGCCGUGCACCGCCUGGAGAAAAUUAAGGAACUAAUCCGUUUGAACAUGAUGGACAUGGAUAGGGCUGAACCACGGAACCAGACCAAACCUUUCGACUACAUCGGUGGCUUGGCACGGAGGUGGCACCCCUUAAUAUCAGGGCACGAUCCGACGAUGGCUUUUUCGGAUUUAACUGUAAGAAGCAAGAUCAGCUGGUGGAGGAAGAAGUUCUCCCUAUGGUGAAAGAUGCCGUGUUGAAGGCGGUUUGGGGGCUCAACAGCACUGGCCUUGAUGGGAGUGUGAGCGAGAGCUGGGCGGCAGCGCAGAUAGAAGAAGUAUUUGGACAGGUUGAAGCCGAAAGGAAGGAGCUGGAGCUGAAGUUUGUGGGAGCUCUGUUCCCCACGUUCUGGGUUGCGGAAGCACGAGCUGAAGCAUGUGCAGUGGGUGCGGUGGACAUGGUGGACAAGGUUUCGUCGAGCAAGAGGAAACAUCG